GAUGAACGCUGGCGGCGUGCCUAAUACAUGCAAGUAGAACGCUGAAGGAGGAGCUUGCUCUUUCCGGAUGAGUUGCGAACGGGUGAGUAACGCGUAGGUAACCUGCCUGGUAGCGGGGGAUAACUAUUGGAAACGAUAGCUAAUACCGCAUAACAGUAGAUAUUGCAUGAUAUUUGCUUGAAAGGGGCAAUUGCUCCACUACCAGAUGGACCUGCGUUGUAUUAGCUAGUUGGUGAGGUAACGGCUCACCAAGGCGACGAUACAUAGCCGACCUGAGAGGGUGAUCGGCCACACUGGGACUGAGACACGGCCCAGACUCCUACGGGAGGCAGCAGUAGGGAAUCUUCGGCAAUGGACGGAAGUCUGACCGAGCAACGCCGCGUGAGUGAAGAAGGUUUUCGGAUCGUAAAGCUCUGUUGUAAGAGAAGAACGAGUGUGAGAGUGGAAAGUUCACACUGUGACGGUAUCCUACCAGAAAGGGACGGCUAACUACGUG
rnacentral:rRNA from 1 species